UAGCCGCCGCCACCCCUGUCCAUUCCCUACCUUUCUUCCUCGGUAUCCCCUUAUUCCUCCCAGAUCCAAUCCACCAGCCACUGCUCUCCAUCGCAUCACAACAUCGACCAACCACCGCACAGCCAGCCACCUCCCUGACCCAGCGCUCGAUCCAGAUGGGAUUGAGGCAACCACCGGUGUCCUCCUCGACGCCUCCCCUCGCGUUGUGCCGCCAGCCUCCUCUCCGGCCAGUCCCGUCCCCUGCUCCUACCCUUCGCCAUGGCCGCCCUGAGCUCCAGCCAUGGACAGCCGCUGCCGGAGCUCGUCUUCCCCGCCGUCGGCUAGAGCCCUAGGCCAGUGACCCAAGCCUCUUCCUUCCUUCCCUUUUCCCUCACGCACUCUCUUCCUCCUCCAUGACCUCUCUAUCUUCCUUGACGCCAUGGAAAGGAGCACUCAACCGUGGUACAGUCGACUCCGGUCCGUCCAGCGACCUCCGUGCCUCGUCGCCGAUCAGAUUCGUGCCUCCUCCGUCGUUUCCCACGCCGGACCCCGCUACUGCCUCCCCUGCUUCUGCUGCGCGAGGACGACGACGCAUCCAGCAAGCGCCCGCUCAUCCCAGCCACGUUGACCGCCUCCCUCCGAACUCACCGGCGUCACCACGGAGCUUCCCCGACCUCUCCUUCACUCUGACCCACGUCUCUGGUGGCCUUGUCGUCGUCGUCACCUAGGUGAGCAGCCUCUCCACCACAAACUUGCCUCUGCCUCCUCCUCUUUGCGUCCUGACCGCCGGCCUUGUUUUCCCCCAUAGGAGCUCGUCCGUUUCCCGAGAUCUCCACCGACCGCGCCCUUCGACGGGAACCACGUCGUCCGGCUCGUCCCGCCUCCUGCGGGCCUCCCCGUCGCCUGCCGGAGUUCCUGCUGCCGCCAUCGUCGUUCGAGGCUAGUGCCUCUGCUUCGAACCAGGGUGCCGACGCCUCCAGCGCCUGCGUUGACCGAGCACAGCCUAGCCGACCCAGUUCGCCUCUGCCUCACAGGGCCAAGCCCAUGGGUGAGCAGCCCCCUCCAACCCCUCUCCUGUGCUAUUUGGCCCAGACAGAUUUGGCCCAUUCUUGUUUUUUCCCGUUCCAGCGAAUUUAGCAUUAUUCCAGGAAUUACAGAAUUGCAGAAAACCCCUCAGACAUCAUGAAUAUAAUAACUAAUUAACCAUGCAUCGGAUUAAAAUAUUUUACAUAUGUAAAAUGCUUAGAAUUUUAUGUAGAUUAAUAAUUUGCCACUUUCAUCCAUGUUAAAAAUAUUUAAAUUGUUGUUUGCAUUUAUUUUGCAUAAUGUCAUGCUAAAAUAAUUUAUUUCCUAACUAAACAACCGUAGCUCCGAAUUAAAUAAACUUCAUAUGUAAAUGGGGUAGAAAAAUGCGUAGAUUAACUUGGUGCACUUAUUUUGGAUGUUUAUCAACAAUAAAAUAUGGUUUAGGGCAGAACAGUACCAAACUCGAAAAAUGCAUAUGAGGAUUUUCCGGAAUUGUUGUUUGUUAUUUCCGGCCUAAUUUAAACUUGCCUAAACAGGUAGUUUACUCAUGCUUCACCUCUUGCCAUGUUAACCAACAUUUAAUAUUGAUGAGUAGCUAAACGAGAAUGAACUAAAUAAUUGUUGUGCAUAUUGAGCUGCACUUAAUUUGUUUUAUUGUUUGUUGCACCUUGCCAUGCCAUGAAUCAUUAAACCGGACAUGCAUCACACUCGAUUGUGCAUCAUGCCAUGUUUAUGUGAUGAUCAUUUACUAUGUUGUUUGCUUCUUUCCGGUUGCGUUUCUCCUUGAUAGUUCCGGUUAUGUUGCGAUUUUGAGGAUCCGUCCGAGUACGUUGGUUCGUCUACUUCAUGGAUUCGGUCUUCUUCCUAGCGGGAUUUCAGGCAAGAUGACUGUCACCUUGGAUCCCACGACUGAGACGAGAUACGCGCGGCUACUAUCAGGGUGUCGGCACGUCGAGAGGUCUUGAUAGACUUGUUUUACCAUUGUCGAAAUGUCUUGUGCAUCGGGAUUCCGAGUCUGAUCGGAGGGUCCCGAGAUGGAGGAUUGUCUUCGCAGAUCGUGAGCUUGUCAUGGGCUAAGUUGGGACACCCCUGCAGGGUUUAAACUUCCGAGAGCCGUGCCCGCGUUUAUGUGGCAGAUGGGAAUUUUUAAUAUCUGGUUGUAGAGAACUUGACACCAGACCUGAAAUAAAAUACACCAAUUGCGUGCGUAACCGUGACGGUCUCUUUUCGAGUGAGUCGAGAAGAGAACACGGUGGGGUUAUGUUUGAACGUAAGUAGUUCAGGAUCACUUCUUGAUCAUUACUAGUUUGCGACCGAUUGCAUAGUUUCUCAUCUCACUCUUGUACUCGUAAGUUAGCCACCAUACAAAUGCUUAGUCGCUUGAUGCGACCUCACCACUUAUCCAUUCCAUUCCCACGAAGUUUGCUAGUCUUGCUACCCAUGGUAAUGGGAUUUCUGAGUCCUUGUGGCUCACAGAUUACUACAACAACAGUUGCAGGUACAGGUAAUGCGGUGAUCUCACGUGAGAGCGAGGCUUGAUUGCUUUUGGAGUUCUUCUUCUUCGAUCAAGGGAUAGGUUCCGGGUCGAGGAGCCUGGGCUAGCAGGGUGGAUGUCGUUCUUCCAUUUCGUUUGAUUUCAUACGUAGUCGGAUCCUGCUCUUCUGUAUGACGAUUGCUAUGUAUUGAUGAACUAUUGUAUUCAUGAUGUAGCUUGUGGCGAGUGUAAGCCUUUAUCUUGUAUUCUCACCUAUUCAGUACAUGGUAUGUGUAAUAAUAUCCACCUUGCUAUGCGCUCGAAAUGCGGUUGUGCCUCAAUCAUGAAUUCAUCACGUGAUUGGGAUAGAAUCGCAUCUUGGGUGUUACACCUGAGCACAGAUGCCGUGCCAGUCCUUAAUCAUGAGGCGGUCGUGGGUCGGCUCACAAGGGCAUACGACCUUCAUGGCGAUGAAGCACCGGGCAAACAGACGAUAAUCAUAAAGCAACUCAUGGAGUAAGGUAAAGCCAGUUCUGAUAGACGCAAGAAGGAUGCAUGCCACAAGGACGGACCCAUACGGCUUGGGGAUGAUGCAGCCCGAGGGGCACCCCCAACUGAACAAACCAAGAGAUGUCACCUGGC
rnacentral:lncRNA from 1 species